rnacentral:rRNA from 1 species
CCUACGGGAGGCAGCAGUGGGGAAUCUUGCGCAAUGGGCGAAAGCCUGACGCAGCGACGCCGCGUGAGGGAUGAAGGUCUUCGGAUCGUAAACCUCUGUCAGCAGGGAAGACCGGUCACUGGGCUAAUCAGCAGUGAAUUGACGGUACCUGAAAAGAAAGCACCGGCUAACUCCGUGCCAGCAGACGCGGUAAUACGAAGGGGGCAAGCGUUAAUCGGAAUUACUGGGCGUAAAGCGAUCGUAGGCGGGAUGUCAAGUCAAAGGUGAAAGCCCCGGGCUCAACGGGGGACCGUCCUUUGAAACUGGCAAACUGGAGUGUGUGAGAGGAUAGUGGAAUUCCAGGUGUAGGAGUGAAAUCCGUAGAUAUCUGGAGGAACAUCAGUGGCGAAGGCGACUAUCUGGCACAUAACUGACGCUGAGGAGCGAAAGCGUGGGUAGCAAACAGGAUUAGAUACCCUUGUAGUC